CACUGCGAAACGAACUGUGAGUGAGUGGAACGCAUAAUAACCAAGACCAACUGAGAAGCAAUCAACUUACCAGUCGAGGUCGUUACGUUGUCAGAGUCGGGAACCCAGAUGAUAGUAUCUUCUUUUCUUGUUUGCAGUUUUUUUUAAAUGUUUCCAAUAAAAUAAUUUCAAUUUAAAUUGAAAGUUGUUAUCUUGUGGCUUGUAAAAAGAAAAGAUAACGCUGCGCCGCGUUUUAAAGUGAAAAACAAAACUCACGGUUUUUGAGUUUUUCAGUGGAAAUCUGUAAAAUUAAAGUGAAAAAGGAUUAAACAACUUUUGGAUACAACAGAAAAAAAAGUAAAAACGUCCUUUUUUUUGAAGUCUUGUUCUUCUUCGACUUGUGAAUUUAAUAUGAAAUAAAUAAAUACAAUUAAAAAAAAAGCAACAGUGAAAUAAAAAUAAAAAAAAACUAUGUUAAAAUGAGUACAACAGCAUCAGCAAAUACAACUCCUGCAUCAAAUGGUGGCAACCCUGGCACCAAUGACAACAACAACACCUCCACCAACAACAGCACAUCAAGUCUAUCAAACAUCAAUUCAAACACGAACAACGGUAUUGGAGGAGGAUCAUCAGGUGGCGGUGAUGGUGGUCCAAUGAAUCCUCAAACCAUAAAAUCUUCAUCAUCUUCAUCUGUUCCACCACAAUCAGCAACAACAAACUCAACAACAUCACUUCCAUCAAAAUCCAUAGGACCACCACCCAUUCCACCAACCAAACCGAUUCUCUCCUCCCCCGGUGCUUAUAAACACAAUUAUGUUAAUUCGACAAAUAUUAAUCUCAGUAGUUCAGGUACCCUAACGGCUGGCAUACAUAGCGUGAAUAAAGCCCAUUUGCCGCCGAGCAGUGAGAAGCCGGCGAUUGCAGCUCGCCCCAUACCGCCGCCAACAUUGCCCAAAUAUUCGUCGAGUUUUGGUAAAAUCGAUCGGGAGCGUAAUGAUUUUGCCAAAUUGGAUCGAGCUGAAAGGGAAAAGGAGGGAAUCGGUGGCUCGUAUCGUUUAGCUAGCCUGGAUCGGUUGGCAAACCGACAACGAAUGCUCGAGCAGAAUGGCGGUAUGGGUAAUGUAUCGCUUGAAAAGAAUGGCAUUAAUUAUGAAGCAACUAAUGGACAUUCUGCUACCAAACAAAUUAUUUCAACGAAUUUACCAACAAUAAAUAAUACAACAUCAGCUACAGUUAUGCUGCAAUCGAAGCGUGAGAUGUUCUUCAAGAGCGACUCACAUAGCAGUCCAUCUGGUCCACCGCCUACACCACCAACGUUAAACAAUCAUGUGAAUAGUAAUUCAACAUCACAGAAUUCCUCAAUAAACAACACACCAUCAGCAAUUAAUGAUAAACAUCAUCAUAUUAGCAAUAAUAUUCAAAAUAACCACCAUAUUAACACAUCUUCAUCGACACUGAACAAUAGCAGUUCAUCGUUAAUAUCACAAGAACAACAACACAGUAAAUUAUCAAAUUCAACAACAACAACCACAGUGAACUCAACCACAGUGACAUCUGGUGGUGGUGGUGGAGUUGGCAGUGUCGGUGGCGGCGUUGGCGUUGGCGGUGUUACAUCGAAUGUUACAGCCCUGGCGAAUAAUAUUAAUAAUUUGUCUCUAAAGGAGAAACAACAACAGCUCCUAAUGAAUAAUGAUAGUUACUCAGAUUCAAAUAAAAUCGCUAGCGAGCGAUAUGAUAAGGAAAAAGUUCAAGCGAUAAGUCGGCCUAAACCUAAGGAACUAGAUGGCUAUGUUGGUUUUGCUAAUUUACCAAAUCAAGUUUAUCGGAAAGCAGUGAAAAAGGGUUUCGAAUUUACCCUUAUGGUUGUGGGUGAAAGUGGUUUGGGAAAAUCAACACUGAUCAAUUCUAUGUUCCUGUCGGACAUUUAUAACCAGGAUCAACAUCCGGGACCAUCACUACGUAUUAAGAAAACAGUUGCCGUUGAAUCGACAAGAGUUUUGCUCAAAGAGAAUGGUGUUAAUCUAACACUGACAGUUGUAGACACACCUGGAUUUGGUGAUGCAGUUGAUAACAGUAAUUGUUGGGUACCCAUAAUAGACUUUGUUGAAAGUAAAUACGAAGAAUAUCUAACAGCUGAGUCACGUGUCCAUCGCAAGGCAACACCCGACAAUCGAGUGCAUUCAUGUUUAUACUUUAUCGCUCCAUCUGGUCAUGGCCUAAAGCCACUCGAUGUUGAAUUUAUGCAACGUUUAUGCGAUAAAGUGAACAUUAUUCCAGUUAUUGCCAAAGCCGACACAAUGACACCCGAAGAAGUUCAACUAUUUAAAAAACAAAUUCUCAACGAAAUUGCUCAACAUAAAAUUAAGAUUUACGAUUUCCCCGAGCCUUUGGAAGAUGAAGAAGAAGCCAAAGCUUUGCGAUUGUUAAGAAGUCGUGUGCCAUUUGCUGUUGUCGGUGCAAAUACCGUUAUUGAAGUUGAAGGAAAAAAAAUCAGAGGACGAAGAUAUCCUUGGGGUAUUGCUGAGGUUGAGAAUCUUGAUCACUGCGAUUUUAUUGCCCUACGCAAUAUGGUAAUCCGAACGCACCUCCAGGACUUGAAGGACGUUACCAAUAACGUGCACUAUGAAAACUAUCGGUGUAGAAAGUUGGCAGGCCUAGGAGCUGACGGAAAAGCCAGAUUAACUAACAAUUUUUGCCCUCAAGGAAUUAUGAAUAGCUUUAUGAUUGUUUGGAAUCCCCUUGCUCAAAUGGAAGAAGAAAAACGUGAACAUGAUUUGAAAAUGAAAAAAAUGGAAGCCGAAAUGGAACAAGUCUUUGAAAUGAAGGUGAAAGAAAAGAAACAAAAACUUAAAGAUUCUGAACUUGAAUUAACAAGGCGACACGAGGAGCGUAAAAAGGCCCUCGAAAUACAGAUACGUGAAUUGGAAGAACGUCGAAGAGGAUUUGAUCAGGAGAAGAAAGAUUGGGAAGAGUCAAACCACAUUACACUAGACGAACUCAGACGACGAAGCUUAGAAGCGAAUAGUAAAGAGACUGCAUCAAUGACAUCAAGAGGUUCGGAUGAUCCGAAGAGUCGACGUGGUUUUGGAUCAUUAUUGCGACGUCAUACUAGUUUUGGAGCCCCUGAUGCUCAUCUACAUCGGGGCGGUGGCGGUGGCGGUGGCAACACUCCAGCCAUUCCACCCGCUGGAAUCAACUCAACCAAUUCAUUACCACCAAAUUUUCCGUAUCAACGUGUUGUUUAACAUAAUGCAAAUAAAAAUCACUUCCUACGUUAAAAACCAAAUGAUUUAUGGUUGGAAAGCAAUGCUGUUGAAAAGACAAAGUGAAAAACCUUAAGGACAGUGUCUAAAACCCAUCUACCAUGACAAGUUAGUGGUGGUUUUUCUACGAUAGCGAAAAAAAAACAAGAACCGUCGACGGCAAAGACAAAAAAGACAAGAAAAAGAAGAGUUUGUUCUAGAGGUCAAUAUCUUGAGUGGAGGAAUACACUCAUAGGAAAUAAUUAAAACAAAACAAAAAUUUAAAAAAUAAAAAAAAAAACAUUUAUAUAAAUAUAUAUAUAUAUACAAAUAGUUAUGUAAAAGUUUAUAUAAUAUACAUUUUAUUUAUGAUUCAAGGUAUUUUUAAGUCGAACAAAACAAAAAAGUUUUACAAAAAUCACAAAACAAAAGAUGUGCAGAAAAAAACAUAAAACAAAAAACAAUCUAUUUCACCAUACUUCCACUUGUUCUUUUCCUUUAUCCCUUUCUCUCCCAUAUACGAGUACAACACCUUAGUUUUUUACAAUUUCUUCGAAAAACAAAAACAAAACAAAAAUUACCACCAAAAACAAUUUGAAUAUAAAAAUUUAAAAACAAAAAACAUACAAAAAAAAACAAAACAAAUUUGUUACGAAAUCUUUUUUGUUUCCAUUAAAACAGUUUUUAAAAAAAAUGCACUACUACUAUUUAAAAAAAAGAUAAAAUAGAAACUUUUUUGAAAAUAAUAAACUAGCUUAGUUUUGACAGCAAAAAAUUGAAAACUUGUGUUACUUACGUAUAAUAUUGUUGAAAAAAAUAAAAAUAAUAAUAAACAAACGAAUAUUUAAUAAUACAUACGAAUUGUAUCGUCGUGUUUCCUUUCUAAUUAAAAAACAUUUAAAAAACUUAAAAGUAACAACAAAAUAUAUAUAUUAUAUAUUAUUUAAAUAGUUAUAUAUAAAUUUAAAACAAAACAAAAAAUCAGAUAUCAUCAAUAAGAGUUAUAUUAAAAAAUAUAUAUAAUGAAAAUAUGUACUUUGUUUCAAUAAUUUCUUUUUUCUUUUCUUGUUUAAAUUUGAUUACCAUUUGUUUGUAAUUUUACUAAAAAAUAAUACAACAAAAAUUUUAAGCAUUUAAAAAUAUAUAUAAAAAAAUAAAAAACAAAAACUUUAAAUAAUAUUACACAAUUUUUGUCUAGUAUUAUAUUUAAUAAUUAAAACAAAAAACUAUUAUAAUAAUAAUAAUAAAAGGAAAAAAAGAAAAACGUGUUAUAAAUAUUUAAAUUUAAAAUAUAAACAAAACAAAAACAAAAAUAAGCAUGAAAAGUAUAUUAUUCAAAAGAUGCAGCGGCAGCAACAAAUAUAUGAAGAAUAAUUUGAGAAUAAAUUUAAAGAAGAAAACAUAAAUAACAUAAAAUUCAAUUUUGAAAAAAAAAAUAAAUAAUAAACUCGAUGCUUUGUACAAUUAUUAUUAAAUUACAAUUGCUAUUAUCAUCUAAAAUAUAUAAUAACAAUAAUAAUAAUAUAAAAAAUAAAAAUAAAAAAUUGGUAACAAAAAUUAUUAAACAA